UUGACCUCGGAUCAGGUAGGGAUACCCGCUGAACUUAAGCAUAUCAAUUAAGCCGGAAGAAAAGAAACCAACCGGGAUUGCCCCAGUAACGGCGAGUGAAGCGGCAAGAGCUCAAAUUUGAAAUCUGGCCCCUCCGGGGUCCGAGUUGUAAUUUGCAGAGGAUGCUUCGGGUGCGGCCCCUGUCUAAGUGCCCUGGAACGGGCCGUCAGAGAGGGUGAGAAUCCCGUCUUGGGCAGGGUGCCCGUGCCCGUGUGAAGCUCCUUCGACGAGUCGAGUUGUUUGGGAAUGCAGCUCUAAAUGGGUGGUAAAUUUCAUCUAAAGCUAAAUACCGGCCGGAGACCGAUAGCGCACAAGUAGAGUGAUCGAAAGAUGAAAAGCACUUUGAAAAGAGAGUUAAACAGCACGUGAAAUUGUUGAAAGGGAAGCGCUUGCGACCAGACUCGGCCUCGGGGUUCAGCCAGCAUUCGUGCUGGUGUACUUCCCCGGGGCCGGGCCAGCGUCGGUUCGGGCGGCCGGUCAAAGGCCCCAGGAAUGUAUCGUCCUCCGGGACGUCUUAUAGCCUGGGGUGCAAUGCGGCCAGCCUGGACCGAGGAACGCGCUUCGGCACGGACGC
rnacentral:rRNA from 1 species